UACGAAGGGGGCUAGCGUUGCUCGGAAUUACUGGGCGUAAAGGGCUCGUAGGCGGCCAACUAAGUCAGACGUGAAAUCCCUCGGCUUAACCGGGGAACUGCGUCUGAUACUGGAUGGCUUGAGAUUGGGAGAGGGAUGCGGAAUUCCAGGUGUAGCGGUGAAAUGCGUAGAUAUCUGGAGGAACACCGGUGGCGAAGGCGACAUCCUGGACCAACACUGACGCUGAGGAGCGAAAGCCAGGGGAGCAAACGGG
rnacentral:rRNA from 1 species